CAAUAGCGUAUAUUAAAGUUGUUGCAGUUAAAAAGCUCGUAGUUGGAUUUGUGGCGUACGGUGUGUUCCGGGCACUUGUUGUCUGAGUAACCUGCUGUUGCCAUCCUUGGGUGGAACCUGUGUGGCAUUAGGUUGUCGUGCAGGGGAUGCCCAUCAUUUACUGUGAAAAAAUUAGAGUGUUCAAAGCAGGCUUAUGCCGUUGAAUAUAUUAGCAUGGAAUGAUGAGAUAGGACUUUUUUGCUAUUUUGUUGGUUUGCGCAAAGAGGUAAUGAUUAAUAGGGACAGUUGGGGGUAUUCGUAUUCCAUUGUCAGAGGUGAAAUUCUUGGAUUUUUGGAAGACGAACUACUGCGAAAGCAUUUACCAAGGAUGUUUUCAUUAA
rnacentral:rRNA from 1 species